UAGCGUGUAAACUCCAUCACCAAACUUGGUCAAACAUUGCAGGUAACAUGAAAAAUGUUCCUGCAGUGAAGAACAGGAUAUUUCAGGACUUCCAAACUUGGACUGGACUCAACGGUAGUCCGAGAACUUUAAAGGGGAACUGCACUUUCCGACAAGUUGGUACACUUUGACAGCCAAUUUAGACUUGGGAAUGGCGAGAACGACACAAAAAGACGCUUGGUUCCACCCCCCUUUUCGUUGUGAGUCAUUCUUCAUCUAAAUGGGAAUAUAUGAACAUCCUAGCCAUCGGCAUCCUAACGACAGCAGACCUUGUACAGCUGCAGCCCCCGCAACCCGACCUCGGAUAAGUGGAAGAAGAUGGAUGGACGGAAAUAAGUAUUUUUGUUAUAUUAUUUUAAAUAAGCAUACUUGUCGACAAAUACACACAUACAUACAUAUACACACAUGCAUACAUACGCACAUGUAAACAUAAAUGCUUUUAUACACAUUUACAAAUACACUUCCACAUUACCAAAAACAUGGUACAUUACUGAGUGUGAUAUAUAUGUAUCAAUAUCAUAACACUGUAUAUAUUUCUCUUAUAUUUUUACUUGAGUUGAUUGUAUCAAAUUAACUUAAUCACAUUUUAUUUAUCAAGCCCUAAAUCCCGGGUGCCGACAUUCCCUAAACUCUAACCCACAUACGGGCAAGAAAUUAGUUUUUUAUACAAACCCCAGAUGGGGAAAAUGAAGAAACCUUUGAGAAGGGAUCGCAGCUGUAGGGACCCUUCUUCCAGGAGAAUUGGGACAAAGCAGAAAAGCGGCAGAUCAACUGUUCUAAAAGGGGUUUCUACAAAACCUAAAACAAGUGACAUUGGCACGUUGUGUAAAUGGUAAAUAAAAACUGAAUACAAUGAUUUGCAAAUGCUUUUCAACUUAAAUUCCAUUGAAUAGACUGCAAAGACAAGAUACUUAACGUUCUCACUGGAAAGCUUUGUUAUUUUUGGAAAAUAUUAGCUCAUUUGGAAUUUGAUGCCUGCAACAUGUUUCAAAAAAGAGUGAGAAAGUUGAGGAAUGCUCAUCAAAGACUUAUUUGGAACAUCCCACAGGUGAACAGGCUAAUUGGGAACAGGUGGGUGCCAUGAUUGGGUAUAAAAGUAGAUUCCAUGAAAUGCUCAGUCAUUCACAAACAAGGAUGGGGCGAGGGUCACCACUUUGUCAACAAAUGCCUGAGCAAAUUGUUUAAGAACAACAUUUCUCAACCAGCUAUUGCAAGGAAUUUAGUC